rnacentral:rRNA from 1 species
AUUGAACGCUGGCGGAAUGCUUUACACAUGCAAGUCGAACGGUAGAGGGGGCAACCCCUUGAGAGUGGCGAACGGGUGAGUAAUAUAUCGGAACGUGCCCAGUCGUGGGGAUAACGUAGCGAAAGUUACGCUAAUACCGCAUACGAUCUAAGGAUGAAAGCGGGGGACUCGCAAGAGCCUCGCGCGAUUGGAGCGGCCGAUAUCAGAUUAGGUAGUUGGUGGGGUAAAGGCUCACCAAGCCAACGAUCUGUAGCUGGUCUGAGAGGACGACCAGCCACACUGGAACUGAGACACGGUCCAGACUCCUACGGGAGGCAGCAGUGGGGAAUUUUGGACAAUGGACGCAAGUCUGAUCCAGCCAUUCCGCGUGCAGGAUGAAGGCCCUCGGUUGUAAACUGCUUUUGUACGGAACCGAAAAGGUUUCUAUUAAUACGAUGAGCUCAUGACGGUACCGUAGAAUAGCACCGGCUAACUACGUGCCAGCA